CAGUAGCAUGCUCUGAUUGUCCAAGUGAAGUAGUUCAACCAAGCGCUGGUAAAUGGCGGGAGUAACUAUGACUCUCUUAAGGUAGCCAAAUGCCUCGUCGUCUAAUUAGUGACGCGCAUGAAUG
rnacentral:rRNA from 16 species